rnacentral:rRNA from 1 species
GUGUCAGCAGCCGCGGUAAUACAGAGGGUGCGAGCGUUGUUCGGAAUUAUUGGGCGUAAAGCGCUUGUAGGCGGCUUGUUAAGUUCCGUGUGAAAUCCCCAGGCUUAACCUGGGAAGUGCGCGGAAAACUGGCGAGCUUGAGUGCCGGAGAGGGUCGCGGAAUUCCCGGUGUAGAGGUGAAAUUCGUAGAUAUCGGGAGGAACACCAGUGGCGAAGGCGGCGACCUGGACGGACACUGACGCUGAGACGCGAAAGCGUGGGGAGCAAACAGGAUUAGAAACCCCGGUAGUCC